GACAGAGGGUGCAAACGUUGUUCGGAAUUACUGGGCGUAAAGCGAGUGUAGGCGGUUUGGAAAGUCGGAUGUGAAAGCCCCGGGCUCAACCCGGGAAGUGCACUCGAUACUCCCAAGCUAGAGUAUCGGAGAGGUUGGCGGAAUUCUCGGUGUAGAGGUGAAAUUCGUAGAUAUCGGGAGGAACACCAGUGGCGAAGGCGGCUCUCUGGACAGGUACUGACGCUGAGACGCGAAAGCGUGGGUAGCAAACAGG
rnacentral:rRNA from 1 species